UACGUAGGGUGCAAGCGUUGUCCGGAAUUAUUGGGCGCAAAGAGCUCGUAGGCGGUCUGUUGCGUCGGCUGUGAAAACCCGGGGCUCAACCCCGGGCCUGCAGCCGAUACGGGCAGACUAGAGUUCGGCAGGGGAGACUGGAAUUCCUGGUGUAGCGGUGAAAUGCGCAGAUAUCAGGAGGAACACCGGUGGCGAAGGCGGGUCUCUGGGCCGAUACUGACGCUGAGGAGCGAAAGCGUGGGGAGCGAACAGG
rnacentral:rRNA from 1 species